CCACCCCCACUCAAUCGAACAGGCCACGGACCGGACCAAGUUAUCGUCCAGUACGCCAGUCUGUUAGACAUUUAUCUGAAAUCGCCAUACCAUUUGUAUCAAGGUCGGUGGAAGCUUUUGUGCAUUGCUUAAAAUACGCAAUACUGACAACGGACCAAUUGUAGCUCGUCAAGGUUUGUUUUCUUCAACGAAACUUUGUUUGACCACGAUUACUCAAUUUAAACCACCCACCUACGAUUGAUCUUUUAUAAAAUGAGGCACUGUCAUUAGCUGUAGCCUUGUCACUUAAAAAUACAUGACAAUGGAAUCCGACUCUAAGUAAACGGUUUCAUGCAAUAUAAAACAUGUUUUAAAUGAAAUAUUUUUGUAUGAUAAUUUAGUAUUUUAUUUAAAAGUGAAUUAAUAUAUAUAUGCUUAUAACUUGUAUCGUUCAUCUUAUAACGCACCGGUUCCGAUGUUAAGUUGACACAGAAAUAUGUCAGAUAGAAAUUAAUGUAAAUUGCGGAGCUAUGGUUGAGGCAAAUGGCCACCAUGGUCUAAGUUGUGCAAGGUGUGCUGGUAGGCAGGCACCAUUCCAUAAAUUAUAUCGUUCUUCGGGCAUUGAUAUCCGCCCAGCUGCCUUGUGCUCUAGACCCUCAGGGUUUGAGUAGGCCAGACUGCAAACGACCGGAUAGGUUAGCGCUGGUUCUUUGGACGAGGGGGCGUGGUCUCAUUUGGGAUGCGACGUGCGUACGUAAGUACAUUCACUCCGUUGCAUUUUAGCCACACAGUGCGGAGAGCUGGGGCUGCAGGAGAGGGUGCAGCAAAGCUCGAGCAUUCCAAAUACUCGAACUCGGAACCAGUUUACGACUUUGUUCCGGUUGCAGUGGAAACUGGUGGACCCUGGUCUUCUGAGCCGAAAACUUUUAGGUUAAGAGCAAAGCCAAAAUGCAGGCAUCCAAGAUGAAGCGCGUAUUUUUUUCAUUUAUGCAUAAACCCGAGCUCGCGCGGACAGUACCAUAGGCAUAAGCUGGCCAUACAUACUAGGGUACGUCUGCGCAGUUAUGCGUGUACAGUUCAACUGCACAGGUAAAAAUGAGCGUAUGUGGCAUUCGACUAUGCAGUUUUCUACGACUGCACAGGUGGCCUGCGCAAAUAAGAUUUUUUUGACCAGUUUACCAUCUUGAAAUGUACAGGUAAAACUGAGCAGGCUUCAGUUCUACGGGGAUCGCGGAGAUUGAAGAUGUCAGUGUCAUCUUUUUUUUGAGAGAAAGCGCUAUGAUUGUUUGUCCUUGGCACAGUUUAAUUUUUUUUAUUCCCUACCGUAAAUUUUAGUAUGGCUUAUGGUGGACAACAAAUAAUCCGACCAAAUUACGUAGAUUGUUUUUGGUGCAUUGCGUAUGUUCUGUCCCUUACGGGCGCACGCGUAUAGCACAUCUCGUUGAUCCUACCAUCUAUGACCAUAGGGAUAGAUCGGUCUCUAUAAUUUAUCGGUUUUUAGGAUAUCGACUCAUGAUAUACUCGCUAGCAAACAGCAUUAUUAAUAUUAUUUAGAUAGGGCAACACAUGAUGUCAAAUUGUCCAUGUCAAAUUCCUUUCCACAGUGGUUAGCUUUGCUCACAUGUCAUAUACAAAUUUAGAUCACAUCGAUAUUGAUGUAAAAAGAACAUAAGUUCUUGCUAAACAUUUAUUUUAUUGGCAUUGGAUCUCAGGCAGUGAUUCAGGAAAUAGUUUUGACCUUUGUGCGGAUUAAAGAUAGUCUAUAAAUUUGAUAUAGUUAUGGCAUCGUAGCGGCAGUUAACAUUAAGUACUUAAUGGGUCAAGCGGUCAACUGUAAUUAAUUUUCUUUUCGGUGACUCGUUUUCUUUCCCGCUCAGAUUUAAUGAUAUUUGUUUUUCUGUUGAUUGUUUUGUUGAAGUGGACAGUUUCAUUUAAAGACUGUUGCAUUUAAAUCAUAAUUAAUACAAAGAAAUGCCUUGCUGUGCAUCUGUUUUAUGCACAUAGCUGAAAGAUUGAUAAAUAUAUUUAAAGUGGUCUUUAUAGUUCAAUUAAUUUAAUUGUAUAGUUUCUAUUUAGAACAUCAACAUGUCUUACCAACAUAGCUUGCUUCAAGUCUUCCAUUGCCUUUUUUCUGUUGUUCUCACUCAAGCACGUCUUUCUACCAGACUAACUUAAAAGAUGUAAUAAAAAAAUAUUAUUUUGGAUAUAACACUUAGGGCCACUUGCACCAAUCAGUAACCCUGGGGUUAACUGGUUAAACCUGGAAUUACCAGUACAAUUUGACCCUGAGUUAAUGGUUUAACUGGUUAACCUGAGUUAGUGGGAUGGUGCAAAUGGCCAUUGUUGACAGUUAUUGUUUUACAUACUAGCACUUUCAGAUAAACCUUACAUGGUACUAGUGUUGUUAGUAUUAUUUUGAUGUAUAUAAAUGUACCUAGUUUCUGUUUCAAAAAGUUUUCUGGAUGUUUUUUGUCUCUAAGUCAUUUGAAUGAAUUUCUGUAACAAUGCUAUGGUGUAGUUUUAGCGUUUAAGCUUUAUCUUUAAAAUCAUUCAGUCUUGUUAGGCUCAUAUCUGCAGGUAUGCAGUGUCUUUCAAUUCAUCUCAAAUUAGUCUGAUUUCUUUACUUGCAUGCACUAUGUUCAGUAUUUGGGUAUGUUUGUAUCCAUUUUUGACAGGUGCCGGCUUAGCAUAGUAUGGUUCGAAUUCGGAAAUUGUAAUUGUAGUUUAUGGUAUGUUCUGGCUUAGCAUAGAACGGGUGGAAUAGCAUCGCAAAUUGUAAUAAGCUUAUUGUGCAGAAGUCAUAUUAUUUUUGUAUAGGUUUGCGCAGUAAUCUCACUUAACUGCAGUAGUUGUGGUUCCCUGUUGUUUAUUUUGUUGGAGUCAAAAGUGAUUGGACAGAGUUGGCAGAUUGUGAUGAUUAAAAUAUAUUUUUACUUGUCUUGUUGUACACAGCAUACAAAUAUAAUUGUAGUUUCCAAAUUGAGUAGUCAGCUGCAGAGAUAAUUGACUCUACAAACUAUUUUCUAUGCAGGGAGGUCAGUUAUCUCUGCAUCUGACUGUUGUUUGGUGAUGAAAGCCAACUACUAUUUAUAGUAUUUAUAUAAAAUAAAUAAUAAUUAUUAUAAUUUGCCAAAUAACUCAUGUUAAUAGUAUGUAUGAUUUAUUGAUAUAAUUGCUUUAAAGGAUUUGUAUAUUGUACGCAAAUUGCUGGUAUGUUGACUCGAGUUGGUAGAUUAAUAUUAAUAAUUGAUUCAUUGGGUUCUUUUGUUCUUUUUUUUAUUUAGGGACUUUUAAUAUCUUAAGAUUACACCAGUCCCAUCGGACCUUAAACUAAAUUAUUAUCAUCUACGGCCUGACAGACUGACUAAUAUACACUAUACACACACCUUUGCCUCUUCUGAGUUUGGUGUCACCGAGAUGCGCCUACAUCUAACCUAUUAUGAUUCAGUGACUUCAUCAAUCCGCACAUAUUCCACCAAUACAUGUUGAACAUCUUUUUUAGAGAUUGGAUGAUUAUUUUGAUUACAAAAUUAAUUUUAGCCUGACUAAUAAGUUGAAAUGGUGGUUGGUUGUCUAAUACCGUUUAGAAUUUGGAAAUAAAAUCUUAUGACUAGGCUAUUACAAUAUUAAAAAAGGAAACUGAAGUUCAGGACCUGGAGGAGUAUUCCUUCCCUUCCUUGCCUUCUGCUCUUAAGUUUGAGGUAGGCUGCUCAGUGGUAUAGAAUUAGCGCGGGUGGUGGGUUUUGCACGAUAAUGCGAUCGUUCGCCUUCCGAGCGACCUUUUUUGACAGAUAGACAGACCAGUAUAAUUUCCAGCUGCCAGGAUCACGCCAGCCACCGCUGUGAGGCGGCAGGGACAGAUCUUCUCUCGAAUCUUUCACUCCUUCAGUGGAUGAAUGAGGGGUCCUUUUAUACUACGUCGGUGGCAAACACGCAUAUGGCCUGCCUGAUGGUAAACGGUUUCCGUAGCCUAUGUACGCCUGCAACUCCAGAGGAGCUACAACUUCCGAACCCAUUUUUGUUCUUCUCUUUUUUUCCCUUUAAAUAUGUAUAUCAUUUUGGUUUUGUUUUGUUUUUAAACUUAAUAAACAUUUCUUUGUAUAUUUUAUUUUGUAUUAUUACUAUUGUUUCAAAACAUGAACAUUUCGCUUAUAUUCUCAAUAAACUAUAUCUUAAGUGUCUUCGGUUUCUGCCUGGUGUGUGGAAGGCGAACUAAGCCCAGCCUCUUUCGUUCUUCAUUUUCCUUCCGGUGGUUGGGGUCGAG